GAGUUCGAAUCCUUGCACAUGCGAGGGAAAUUUUCUUUUGUUCUUGUGUCGUGAAGGAGUUUGAAAUAUGGUAAAAUACUAAGUGUUUGAGAUGUGUGGGAGGUUGUGGGUAGUUUGGGGUGUUUGGAUUGAGUAGGGAGUCAUGUGGAUAGAUUUGAGGAGUAAAAAUAAGAGAAAUUAAGUGAUUAUGAUAGGAUUAGAUUCUUUUUUUUGAAAUUCAGUUUUUCUUUCCCCAGUUUUACUGAAGUCGAAUUUCUUUAUUCAUUCUCUCCUGCCGAAAGUUUCCUUUAGUUUUUCC
rnacentral:lncRNA from 1 species